UCGGGAAUUUUGGACAAUGGGCGCAAGCCUGAUCCAGCCAUGCCGCGUGAGUGACGAAGGCCUUAGGGUUGUAAAGCUCUUUUGGCGGGGACGAUAAUGACGGUACCCGCAGAAUAAGCUCCGGCUAACUUCGUGCCAGCAGCCGCGGUAAUACGAAGGGUGCAAGCGUUACUCGGAAUUACUGGGCGUAAAGCGUGCGUAGGUGGUGCGUUAAGUCUGUCGUGAAAUCCCCGGGCUCAACCUGGGAAUGGCGAUGGAUACUGGCGCGCUAGAGUGAGGUAGAGGAGAGUGGAAUUCCCGGUGUAGCAGUGAAAUGCGUAGAGAUCGGGAGGAACAUCAGUUGCGAAGGCGGCUCUCUGGACCAUCACUGACACUGAGGCACGAAAGCGUGGGGAGCAAACAGGAUUAGAUACCCCCGUAGUCCCUGAGCGGGCUGGCAAGGCGCAU
rnacentral:rRNA from 1 species